rnacentral:rRNA from 1 species
GACGAACGCUGGCGGCGUGCCUAACACAUGCAAGUCGAACGGAGAUAUGAUUUCGGUUGUAUCUUAGUGGCGAACGGGUGAGUAACGCGUGAGCAACCUGACUUUUGGAGGGGGAUAACACCUGGAAACAAGUGCUAAUACCGCAUAAGACCACGACCCGACAUCGGGAUGAGGUCAAAGGAGCAAUCCGCUAAGAGAGGGGCUCGCGUCCCAUUAGAUAGAUGGCGGGGUAACGGCCCACCAUGUCAGCGAUGGGUAGCCGAGCUGAGAGGCUGAUCGGCCACACUGGAACUGAGACACGGUCCAGACUCCUACGGGAGGCAGCAGUGGGGAAUAUUGGGCGAAUGGGCGCAAGCCUGACCCAGCAACGCCGCGUGAGGGAAGAAGGCUUUCGGUUGUAAACCUCUGUCCUUGGUGACGAAAAAAUGACGGUAGCCAAGGAGGAAGCCCCGGCUAACUACGUG